rnacentral:rRNA from 1 species
UACGUAGGGUGCAAGCGUUAAUCGGAAUUACUGGGCGUAAAGCGUGCGCAGGCGGUUAUGUAAGACAGAUGUGAAAUGCCCGGGCUUAACCUGGGAACUGCAUUUGUGACUGCAUGGCUAGAGUUUGGCAGAGGGGGGGUAGAAUUCCACGUGUAGCAGUGAAAUGCGUAGAUAUGUGGAGGAACACCGAUGGCGAAGGCAGCCCCCUGGGUCAAGACUGACGCUCAUGCACGAAAGCGUGGGGAGCAAACAGGG